UUUCAAACGAGAAACUCUUCAAGCUAGGGUUCUUAUUUUUUUCUCUAACCUUCUUGAUGUUCUAUGUAGAUUUGAGAACAAAGAAACAUAAAUUGAAGCAUGCAUCAUAAGAAAAGAAUAGAGGAGAAUAAGAUCAACACAAUGGUUAUAGUGGUUCGGUCUAAUAGACCUACAUCCACUUUCAAAGAGGUGAGCUGGUUGAAGUAGCUUCAGCUGGAUCUUGAGUUGAUUACAAGAUUGCAGCCUCAUUGUCUUCUCCCAACUUGUCCCCGGUUUGAUCAAACUCAUUUGUGAGUUUCUUGAACUCAUCAAGAUUUGCAUCUAAGGACUUUGAAGAACUCAUUUUUAAGGUUCUUGGAGUUUCCUUGGACUUUCUUGAAGCUUUCUUGGAAUUUUUUAGGAGGUUUAACUCUGAUACCAGUUGUUGCAAGCGAAAUGGGCCUUUUAGCUUAAUUGUUGAGGAUUAAAAUAAACCCAAUUAACAAAUUUCCUCCCUGGCCCAAAACAGAAUUGAUGUUGCCAUGUGUGAAGCAUAUUGUGACAUGUCGCGGACUUAAAAGAGAAAAAGAUGAGUGAAAGAAAAAAAAAAUCUUUUGUCUUCCUCUUUUGUGUCAGUUGAGAAACUUCAUCAAGCUAGGGUUCUUAUUUUUCUCUCUAACCUCCUUGAUGUCCUAUAUAGAUUUGAGAGCAAAGAAACAUAAAUCGAAGCAUGGAAUGGAUCAUAAGAAAAGAAUAGAGGAGAAGAAUAUCAAUGGUUAUAGUGGUUCGGCUAAUAGACCUACGUCCACUUUCAAAGAUGAGCUCGUUGAAGUAACUUUAGUUGGACCUUGAGCUGAUUACAGGUAAAAAUUUUAGCUCAUUUCUCUUACAAGUAUUUCAUGCAUAACAUAUUCUUACUUAAUUCCAUGACACAUAAGACUACUAACUAGACUUCAAUGCAAUGUGGCACACACAAUUAUGGUAUGUUUAACCUAAACAUGUAUUACCAAUCAACAUCAAAAUCAUGAAAAAUUUACACAAUGUAAUGUUCUUUCCCAAACAUUCAUUAAAGGUCAUAAAUUUACAAUAUUCAAUCAAACCAUAUAAAAGAAAUAUAAUAGAGAUCGAUCAUAAUCAAUAAUCAAAUUCAAAUAUUCAACAUAUCACAAUUCAAUGGAUAAUUAUUUAUAGAAGUCAAACACAACAAUAAACUAUCAAUCACAUAUAUAUUAUAAAAUAUUUAAUAAGCAACAUAUGGUGGAAACUACUUAUGAGUAAUCAUUCAACUAUACAAUUGAACAAUACAAUAAUAAAACACACAAUUUGGUAAUUUAUGAUAGAAUUCACUUACCUCAAACUUGAAAUCUAAAUCCUUUAAAAUAUUCUUAUAUAACAUUUAGCAUGAUUUAAAUUAGGUUUUAACAAAUUAAAUUUAGUUUCUUAAAGGAAGCUCAUUAGCUAGCUAAGUACACCAAUUUAUCUAGCUAACCUAAACUGCAUAUUAAUUAUCAUAGUUAUCAUUAUUAAUAAAAUUAUUAUAUAAAUCUCAUAACUUAAUCCUUUUAGUGAUCUUAUCCUAACUUAUACCAAAAAAGUUCAUAAAAAUUAUUUGUAAAUUUUAAGAUUAGUUAUAAAAGAACUUGAAAACCCGAAUAAUGGUGUUUUUUUUCUUCCAAAUUUAAGCCUUAUGCAAAAUAAAUCAUAAAAAUUAUUUUUAAUGUCUUAAAUAUACUUUUUGGCUAACUUUAAGAUAUUGAUCAUGAUUUCAAAGUUUCAUAGCAAACGCAUUUUAAUUUUAAUAUUAAUCAAGCUAAAACUAGAACGAUUGCAUAAACCGAUAAAAUUUUAGAUUAGUUAUAGAGAUUGUUAUGAACCAUUUUUCAUUGUAAUUUUCAGACCUAAAAUCAACGUUUUAAGAUCUAAAUAGUACUAAAAAAAAUAUCUAGGUUUGCUAAGAACAAUUUCUAGGAAAAUUGAAAGCCAGAGAUAAUUGUCUUUAACAUUAGAUGUGUUUUCAUCUCUACUGUAAGGAUGAAUGGAAAAAACUUUAGAUAUCUAAAGAGCUUGAAAUAGUGCUGGAAUAUAUAGAAAAGAGGAUAUGAAUAUGUUUGGGAUCUAUAAAAAUUAAUAGGAAGAUUUACUACAAAACUAGAUUGAAAAGUGAUCGUUUCUUAUCAAUUUGAUACUACUGUUGAACAAUCUCCAAGAACACUUAUCGAAACAAAUUUUAAAUCUCAUUAUUCUAUCUAAGAACUGUGAUUUACGGCAUUAGGAUAAGAGUUACAGAGCAAAUUUUCAUAUUUUUUUAGGCUUUUUUUUCUUGGGAUAAACCUAAUAGACAAUACUUUUGGAAAAUGGACAAACCUAUUUUUCUCCCUCCUCCAUGCAUGCAUGACUAUGUGAUCUUCCAAUCAAGUUUUUUACUCCUCAAUUCACCACCUUAACUCUUAUUUAAUCUAGGGUGGAAGCUCAAAAGGUUGGGUUAAGGAAAAACUAUACUGUGAUUGAAGUCAACUUGAGUUUUGACUAAGAUUCUUCCUAUUUCCGUUGUAAUCUCUUUAAGCAAGUACAAACGAAUUAAUUCAAACUCUUAUAUUCUUAAAUCUCUAA